AGACUAUGAAUCCACCCUAAGGUCUUGGUUUAUCAUUAUCUAAAUAUAUAUUUACCAAAGGCUUACAAAACAGGGCUUUUUAAAGUUCUGACUGAUGUCCUCUACUAUUUUCUUAAGGAAAUGAGAUUGUUGCUUCAUCGAAUGAUGGGUUAUUUAUUGAUGGUAAAAAGUAGCCAGCAGGACAAUUUCCCCAUAUUGCUUAGUAACUUUUACACACACUCAUAAGUCAUAUUUAUAUACUGGUUUAGGACUAGAGGUUACUAAAUAACAGGAAAUUCUGAAAAUACUUUAGUAUAUAUAAGAUAUCAAAGCUUUUAAAUUAGAGACAGUUUCAUAUCUACUUUAUAAUGUCAAAGCUGAAGUGGUGGAUUUUCCUCUCUCAACUACUGAAUAUGAAUACUUUGGACCCACUAGUUAGUUGUCAUUUGAUAACAUUUAUCAAGUGCUUACUGUUGCCAUCAUUAUUCCUAAUAACAAUAGCUACCAUUUAUUGAGCACUUACUAUCUGCCAGACAUUGGCUAAGAAGAUUAUAUCAUUUAACCCUAAUAACCACCCUACCCAGUUAGUGUAGCUAACUCCAUUUUACAGAUGAGAUAUCUAAGAGUUAGAGGAUUUAAAUAACUUGCCCAGGGCCAGAAUACAAGCCCAAAUCUCUCUGCCUUCAAAUCCUGCAUCCUGAACCAUAAUAACAACCACAAUACCAUCAGAGACAAUGACUGACUUUUAUUGAAUACUUACCACUUGCCAAACAUAGCAUUAUGUGUUGCAUAUGCAUCAUCUCAUUUAAUCCUCAGAAUGCCUCUGUGAACUCAGUGUUGUUGUUGUUGUUGUUGUUGUUGUUGUUGUUGUUAUCCUUAUUUUACCUAUGAUGGAAAUGAGGCUCCAAAUGGUAAUCUGCCCAGAGUCACACAGCUGGCCAUAAAGAAACAGGCAGCAGGCCAGACUUGACUAGUGGGCUCCUGCAAUAAACUGAUAACGCCUCGAGGAUAGAGAAACCAGAGGAUUCAUUGGCAGACUCUGAGGAUGGUGAAGCCAUAUGACAUAAAGAGCAUGGAUCUUGAAACACUACUUAAAGGACAGCUGGCCAGGAGAAGUACUUGACCUACAUUUGCCUGUGAACGACAAACUUUUAUUGCAUUGAAUCACUGAGAUGUGAGGAUUGUUUGUUAUAGCAGCUAGAAUUAAUUACCUUGACUAAUGUAUCUUCGUUAUGUCAUAGUACCUAAUAGUCCUGAUUAUAAUUGUCUUUUUACUUGGCUUCACUAGUGGCUAGAAUGUCUGCUUCGCCAGGGCAGGAGAUUUUGUCUGUUUUGUUCUGUAUAGUAUCUCCAGCAUCUAGAAUACAUGGCACUUGUUAAUUACUCAAUAAAUAUUUGCUGAAUAAAUAAA